rnacentral:lncRNA from 1 species
CAAUAAAAAAAAUCAGAAAAGAAGGAAGAAGAUGAUGAAUUUGCAAUGUUAAGAUUAAAUUGCAUUGUUUUAAAAGAACGUUGCACUAUUAUGGACGUAAGUUGCACUCUUUUAAAUAUAAACUGCACACUUUAAGAUAAAAGUUACAUUCUUUGAAUGAAAGUUGCACUCUUUUAAAUAUAAAGUGCACCCUCUAUGAUGAAAGUUAUGCUUUUUAAACGAAAGUUGCACUCUUUGAGAGAUAUUUACACUGUUUCUCCUCUUAUUGCACUUUUUAAGAGUAGAUAUUUACGUUAUUUUUUCUCUUGUUACACUAUUUCACAUCUUGUUACACUAUUUCUCCUGUUAAAGGAUGCAGUUUACACAUCAACAAAUCAAAGAAGAAAUAGUGCAACAAAAGAAAAAAUAGUGCAACAAGAAAAGAAAUUGUGUAAACAUCUCAUCUUAAAGAAUGCAACAAAAGUAGAAACAAUUUAAAUAUCUCUCAAAGAGUGCAACUUUUGUUUAAAGAGUGUAACUUUCAUCUUAAAUGGCAGUUUAUAUUUAAAAAAGAGCAACUUACGUCCAUAGUAGUGCAAUGUUCUUUUAAAACAGUGCAAUUUAAUCUUAACAGUGCAAAUUCAUCUUCUCCUACCUUCUUCUCUGGUUUUCUUUAUUGUUCUUUAGUUUUUGGCCUUUUAGUUUUUUUUUUGUUUUAAACAAACAAAAGUGCUAAUCCAAAGAUGCUCCUGUGCAUUCCUCGCCCUCCUUGCCUCCGACACCGUCGAGGCCGCGCUCGUUGCCGCCCUCUGGGGUAGGCGGGUGGGCCACGUGCCCCCUCCCUCGCCGACGAGCUUCUCGAGGCCGAGAAGUGCUUUCUCUUUAUCGUCGAUAGCGGUGGUCGGAACGCGAGUUUCCAGAAGUGGAUUUGGUGGGUGCAAAAUCGCUGCAGUGGAGAUGGAGGGUGAAGGCAGAGGAAGAGGACGCAUUACCGUCCUUGUUAUCGUCGCGAAGGGCCGUGGAGCCGACGGAGGAGGGUCGAAGAGAAAAAAAAAAAAAGAGACUCGCAGUGUUGCCUCAGCGGGGUCGGAGGCGAGUAGGGCAAGGGGUGCGCCGACGAAGGUAAGAGUGAGGGCAUGAGGUGCAAAGACGACGGGGGCUAUUUUUGCCUUCGCCUUCGCCUUCGCAGCCUUCUUCGGCGAGAAAAAAAGAACGCGAGAAAAAAAAAAGGAGAGAGAAAAAGGUAUAAGGGUAUUUUGGUCAGUUUAUUAAAAAUACGACCCGAAUCUGCAAAAUCGAAAAAGAUGGCCCACUUUUGUAAAAGCGCAAAACUAGUGGAUUUUUUAUGCAAAUUGGCCUUUCGAUUGAGAUGGAUUUUGGAUUGAAGUGAAGUUCAAUGAAAACUAUUUUUUUCAUGUUGUUUAUUUUAUAACUAUGGAAGUGAAGUUUCUUUAGUUUUGAUAUUUGUUUGGCAAAAAAUGAAUGAUGUUGUUAGGCGCCGAAUCCUUUAUCUUUGACUUGGUCAAAGAUCUUCCUUAGGGAGCGUGUAGGUAUGCGAAACAGCGUCGGAUAGUGACCCUCGAAGUUUGCGCCCUUCGACUAGAUUAAGCGAUUCGGCUAACGAGGGAUCGGAUUAGCCGAGUUCGAAAACCUUUACUGUAGACUCGGUUCGGCUGAAAGCGCCGAAUAGAUGAAAUGCACAGUAAUUGGUCGGCUGGUGAGCCAAAUAUAUAGAAUACUCAAUGAUUGAUCGGCUGAAAGAGCCGAAGGCCUUUAUAUAUUAAUAAAACAGAGUGUGCCCGAAGGGCAUACAGACUCUGAAAAUCUAGUUUACAACAGAGUGUGCCCAUGGGGCAAACAGACUCUGCAAAUAUAGUUUACAACUGGGUAUGCCCGUGGGGCAUACAGACUCAAGAAAUCUAACUUAAAACUACUCCUAGGAAAGCAGUAAAUGCGAAAAAAAAAAGAGAUCACAUUUAGACUACUCCUAAAAAAGCGAUAAAAUUGCAGAGGAAAUAAAGGUGGUCUUCUCGUUCGAGGGGGAGAAAGACCCCUAUUGCAGGCUUCGAAAUUACUAUUUAUAGUAAUAUCAACCCACAUUAUUGGUUGGUUGAAAGUAGUGGGGGGGUAGUGGCUGUAACCAUGAUCGUGAAAGUUACGCCCACUUCUCAUGAAAGUUAUACCUCACUUCUCAAUCAUUCCCGCCUAAAAGCUCUCAACCUUCAGGCGCCUUAUUGCCGACUCCUGGUGUACCACGUGUCCUUAUUUCUUUGACUCAUACGUGGGUUAGGUCGGCAUGUUAAUUUUUUUUUUUUUUUGGCAUCAAUAGAUGUGAAGCUAUAAUUUAUGUAUAAAUAAUAAAUAACUAAAUAAAAAUAAUAUAAUUAUAAUCUUAUAUAAUUAAAAAAUUUAAUCCAAAAAAUUUAAAUUAUAAUAUAUAAAAAUUAUAAUAAUAAUUUAAUAAAAGGCCAAUUUGCAUAAAAAAUCUAUUAGUUUUGAGCUCCCUAAGAGAUCCACGUUAUCCAUUAGCAUAUAAACCAACGAAAGAUUGCCGCAUGUAUAAUAUAUAUUUUGGACACACCCAUUGCAUUAUAAACUGACUCUAAAAUAUGCAUCAAAAAUAAAUUUCUAAAGUACAAUUAGUUAUGAAAAUAUUUUAUAUUAUAUAAUUUAUAUUAUAUUUAAUUUUACAAUAUUAAUGAUCAAAUACUCUACCAAUUAAUUUUUAUUCUUUGUGAUAUAUGGAGUAUUAGUAUGCAUCAUAUGUAAGAAAAUAUUUCUUCUCUUUCUUAGAAUUAUGAGUAUAUCCUAUAAAAUGUUCUCUCCACCAAUUGUAUAUGUGUACAUACAUCACAUACUUAAAACUCUUUAAUAGAGAUUUUAAAAUUAAUUUAUUAAACAUAAUUUAAAUUAUUAGGCUAGUUUUAACCUGCUGUAUUAUGGAUUUCCAUAGACAAUUCAAAUCAAAACUCGAGUAGAUUGGAUAUAUUUAAUUAAGUUUUGAUAUUGAAAUAUUAAUUAUCUAAUAUAAGUUGCGUGUAUAGAGUAUUAAUAUAAAGCAGUUGCAUAUAAUAAUGUCUUCUUUCUUCAAUCAAUUUUAACAAAGUAAAAAAUACUACCACCUAUUCUUCAAUUUGAAAUAAGUUCUUCAAUUUUAACAUUUUAGUUAAAAAUUUUAUCUAUAGAAUAGCUUUAAAAAUUAGUAAGUUUAAUUAAAUUUUUAAAUAGAGAUAUUAGAAUAAUUUAACUUUAUAAUAUUGAAAGUUAAGAAAAUAUUAAUUAAAUAAAGUUAUUUUUAUACAGAGGUAUAAUUUAUAGAUUUUUUUUUUGGUAUUUUCUUAGUUAUAAUUUGAAAGGGACGGUAGGGGAUGACAAGCAGAAGAGACGAUUACCGAACUCGAACACGAGCCACGAACACUUCAAGAAAUAAACACGAGCAAAUACUCGUACAUGGGGAAAGCCUCGAGCCACAGGUUCCGCGCUUUCCAAAGAGUAGAUUUGCCCCCACACAAAGUUUGCUUCGGUUAUGACAAAGAGCUCUCGGGAUAGAACGAGGCUAGAGAUACUCAAGAAGCAAAACUCGGAAUCUCUCACGCUCUUAACUCUGAAAUCUGGAAACUUUUGGUGAUAUGAAUUUUGGCAAAAGAGCCUCUAUUUAUAUGUUUUCUUUCAAAAGGUAAGUCAUGUCUUGUUUGAACAGACAUAAUCGAAAAGUCAUGUCUGUUUGAACAGACAUGUUCCUACAAAGGAAUCCAUUCGUUUGAACAUACUUGUCCCUACAAAGGAAUCCAUUCGUUCAACACAUAAAUUUCACCAAGUAAUUUAUCAAAUACACAUCAUUACAAUUUGCAAUCUAAUUUCUCAACAAUCCCCCACUAGAUUGCCAAUUCCAGAAAUUUAUAAAAUAUUUACAACAGUGCAUAUAGGAGUAGUAUCGUUAGAUUUAAACUCUCCCUUAGUGCCAGUUUAUCAAGACUCUAAUUAAGUAAUUGGUGGCUAGAUGCUUAAACCAUUACUCAUAAAAUCGGAAUCGGAGAAACCGCACACAAAGUCGUUUACUUGUUUGAGUUAGAGCAUUCUUUUGUUAGCACCGUUAUGGCCAUGUGCUCAUCCCUUUAUUUUUUACGAACAUGUACGAGAGAAAACCUUAAGAAACUCUCGUUUGAAGCGGCACCACUUCAUAUCCGUAUAGGUAGAUUUCAUGACAACUAAUGUCCAUCCAUUAAGAGUGGAAACUCAUCCUCUUCAAAAAUAAGUACUAUAUAUAUUUAGUACACACUGUCAUUCGAUAAUUUGUUAUUACCCUUUAAACCUCAACACUAACUUUUGAUUAGGGUGAGGUAGGGUUACUAUUAUCAAUGACUCGAAUGAUGAAUAGAUUUUAGACCCAUCUUAGCGGCAAUACUCCAUACCAUAUUUUUAGAUAAGCCUUUCGUUAAAGGAUCCGCCAGAUUAUCACACGAUUUAACAUAGGUAACGGUCAUCACUCCGUCCCUAAUCAAUUGCCUUACAUACUCAUGUCUCAAACUUAUAUGUCUAGACUUUCCAUUGUAUACCUUAUUAUACGCGCGAGACAUGGUAGAUUCACUAUCACAAAAAAGGGAAAUGGCAGUUAUAGGUUGUGGCCACAACUUUAUAUCUAAUAAAAGAUCACGUAACCAUUCCGUUUCCUUGCCGGUGGCCGCCAAAGCUAUAAACUCGGCCUCCAUUGUAGAGUGUGAGAUGCAAGUUUGUUUCUUAGAGGCCCAACUAAUGGCUCCAUCUCGAAUUGUAAAAAUCCAUCCUGAAGUAGAUUUGUUAUCACUUAAACUCGUUAUCCAACUAGCAUCUGAAUACCCUUCUAGUACCACAGGAUAGUCACUAUAGAACAAUCCAAAUUUUAUGGUUUUCUUUAGAUAACCGAAAACUUUACCGAUAGCUUUCAAAUGUUCGGUACUUGGUUUACUUGUAAACCUUGCUAAUUUGUACACUGCAAACACAAUAUCAGGUCUAGUGCAAUGCAUAGCAUACAUAAGACUUCCGAUUGCACUAGCAUAUUCUAAUUGUGCUAAUGCCCUUCCAUUAUUCUCACUUAACUUGAUAUUCGGAUCAUAGGGAAUAUUGGAAUCCUUAAUGUUCAAGUGUUUGAACUUCUCCAAUAUCUUUUCAAUAUAGUGAGAUUGACUAAGAGCAAAACCAUUCUCAUGUUUGUACACCUUAAUUCCUAAAAUUGUAUCAACCUCAUUUAGAUCUUUCAUCUUGAAUUUCGAGGCUAGAUAUUCUUCGGUUUCACAAACACCUUCUAAGUUUGUGCCAAAGAUUAACAUAUCAUCCACGUAUAGGCAAACAACGACUCCAUACUUAUUCGUAAAUUUGGAGUAAAUGCACUUAUCUGCAUUAUUAUGUUUGAAUCUAUUUGACAAAAUCACGGAGUCAAAUUUUUCGUGCCAUUGUUUGGGUGCCUGUUUUAAACCGUAUAACGAUUUCACUAACUUGCACACUUUUCUUUCAUUUCCAGGUAGCACGAAGCCUUCUGGUUGAUCCAUAUAGAUCUCUUCAUCGAGUUCACCAUUUAGAAAAGCCGUCUUCACGUCCAUUUGAUGUACAUGCAAUUUAUAUAUUGACGCUAAAGCCAUUAGAACUCUUAUGGAUGUCAUUCUAGCAACUGGUGCAUAGGUAUCGAAGUAAUCUAAUCCUUUCUUUUGUUUUAAUCCCUUUGCCACGAGUCUUGCUUUAAAAACAUGUGGACCCGAAGGAUUAAACUUUCGUUUAAAUACCCACUUACAACCGAUCGGUUUCGAUCCUUGAGGUAGAUCUACUAAAACCCAAGUAUUGUUUGACAAUAUUGAGUCCAUCUCAUCAUUGGUUGCUUCUUUCCAAAAUGCCGAAUCUCUAGAAGACAUAGCCUCAUAAUAUGAUUGUGGAUCAUUUUCCACAUUUAGCAUAAUGGGGAUCUUUUUAGUUACGGAAUCUCGACUUCCUUCGACAAGGAAUGCCAAGGAUUGAGAUGAUAUAAAGUCUGGACCAAAGUCCUUUUCUUUUCUCACUCGUUCACUUCUUCUUGGUUCCGUAAUUUCUUCAUCAUGAAAACGUUUUCUCUUUUGAACACUAGAGUUCGAAGUUUUAACUUCUUGACUAUCAUUUUCAAUCGAAUCAUUGAGAAACUUAUUCUCAAUGAAUACGACAUCUCAUGUUUCAAGUAUCGUAUUAGACUCUAAGUCUAAAAUACGGUAAGCUUUUGAAUUUUGGGCAUAACCUAUGAACAUCCCUUUGAUGGCUCUUGGUCCUAAUUUUGUUCUCCUUUGAUUAGGAAUUCUAUAGUAGGCCAAGCACCCCCACAUUUUAAAAUAUUCCAAAGUCGGCUUUCUUCCUAACCAUAACUCAUAUGGAGCAACUUUAAAAUUUCUUGACGGUAUUCGAUUAUGAAUAUAACAAGCCGUCAAUAACGCCUCACCCCAAAGGUUGUUUGGGAGUUUCGUAUUUAACAACAUAGAAUUUAUCAUAUCCACUAAGGUACGAUUUUUCCUUUCCGCUAACCCAUUUUGUUGCGGAGUGUAUGGUGCGGUCCUUUGAUGCACGAUACCAUUUUCUUCACAAAAAGCAUCAAACUGGGCGGAGAAAUACUCGCCACCUCUAUCAGUACGAAGUUUUUUAAUUUUCUUUUCACGCAAAUUCUCAACUUCGACUUUAUAUCGUUUUUAUUUCUCAUAAGAUAUACAUAUGUAAACU